rnacentral:rRNA from 1 species
AACGAACGCUGGCGGCAGGCUUAAUACAUGCAAGUCGUGCGAUUAAAGCCCCCUUCGGGGGUGCAUAGAGCGGCAAACGGGUGAGUAACAGGUGGAUAAUCUGCCUUCUGGUGGGGGAUAACGGCUGGAAACGGCCGCUAAUACCGCAUGUGGUUGUUGGUGCUCAGGCACCGGCAAAGAAAGGCGCUUCACGGCGCUGCCAGGAGAUGAGUCCGCCCCCCAUUAGCUAGUUGGUAGGGUAACGGCCUACCAAGGCUCCGAUGGGUAGCCGAGCUGAGAGGUUGAUCGGCCACACUGGGACUGAGAUACGGCCCAGACACCUACGGGAGGCAG